ACUUUUUAAAUAUUUUAUCCCCAAGCCCCAACUAUCAAGUACAGCUGUUAUUUUGCUGCCAAGAACUAAACACAUUAAACAUGCUUAACAAGUUAGCUAAAUGUUUAUUGGACAAACAAGCGUUUCAAAAGAGUGACCUCCAAUUGCAAAGUCCUUGGGCUGGUGGGAUCAGCACAGGCCAGUCGGAAAGCCUCAACGGACCGGAAGCCCCAAAAAAAAUUACAACUGACUAAAGCCAAUGGACGAAAAGUUAGACGAAGCGUAAAAGCGACAGAAACUAAAAAAAACCAAAAGCAACCAAUAAAACUGGCACUAGUUCUGUAUGUGAGGUGGGUGUGUGUGUGUGUGUGGGGUAGGGUUAGGGUUAGGGGUACUUAAACAUUUGUCUGCCCAAUUUAACUAGUGCGCUAAGCAAAUAAAGUGCCAGUCGUGGUGUUUGACGGUUGGUUAGUUGGACGAUUGGACGGUUGGACGGCUGGACGGUCGGUUAGCGGGCUCCCAGAUGUCCACUGUAAUGGAGCACUAAAUCUAUAUGCUGACACAGAUCCAGAUAGAGAUCUAUGAAUAGCACGCAAACAAACAAGAUGCAGUCGAGCUAGGCGUUUAUUAUUGUUCGCCGCUGAAGCGUCACACGGGACCUGGUACGCGGGCUGCGGGACAUGGGCAUCAUCAACAGCGCAUCACACAGGCACUCGACCACCAAGCGGAAGUCAAAACAAUGAGGACCACCCAACGGAAGCUGCACACAAAAGCAGCAAGGAGCCCGAGGAGCAGAAGGAAGGAAAGGAAAGCAUUUAGAAGCCAACAAAAGGCGGAAAGCGUGACAUUUUGUUCUGGGAAUAAACGAGGGUCGUGCUGUUUUGAAU